rnacentral:rRNA from 1 species
UACGGAGGGGGCUAGCGUUGUUCGGAAUUACUGGGCGUAAAGCGCACGUAGGCGGCUUUGUAAGUUAGAGGUGAAAGCCCAGGGCUUAACCCUGGAAUUGCCUUUAAGACUGCAUCGCUAGAAUUGUGGAGAGGUAAGUGGAAUUCCGAGUGUAGAGGUGAAAUUCGUAGAUAUUCGGAAAGAACACCAGUGGCGAAGGCGGCUCACUGGCCCGGUACUGACGCUGAGGUGCGAAAGCGUGGGGAGCAAACAGG